GUGUUUGCUUCAGCAACAUAUACACUAAAAUUGGAACAAUACAGAGAAUAUUAGCAUGGCUCAUAAACGAGAUGGUCCUGGAACAAAGAUCACAAGCAAAUUUGU